CCAAUCUGUACUCCAAUUCCGCUUGCUGUAUUCGAACAUCGAUGUUGCUGAAAUCAGCGUUGCGAAAGCGCAAUUACAUUACAACACUGCUCUUCACUGGGACGAUUCUGCAUGCAUAUUAUAACGACAAAGUGAAGAAAUUAAUCCAGAGGAGCCUUAACGUACUAUCGCUAAACCGUUGGAAGUAUAGAUGAGCGUUUGGAAUGUACGCGAUAUUUAUGUUUAUAUGUAUUUGCCUGGGGUCGAGGGACACGAGCCGGCGAUGUGCCGAAGCGCUACGUUGGGCCACGUUAAAAUUCCUUGCGACAACGGUCGGCUUUGUCGAUCCUGGGAAUCGGCCGCAGCGUCAGACGUCUCAC